GAUGAACGCUGGCGGCGUGCCUAAUACAUGCAAGUCGAGCGAACGGACGAGAAGCUUGCUCCUCUGUUGUUAGCGGCGGACGGGUGAGUAACACGUGGAUAACCUACCUAUAAGACUGGGAUAACUUCGGGAAACCGGAGCUAAUACCGGAUAAUAUCUUGAACCGCAUGGUUCAAAAGUGAAAGAUGGUCUUGCUGUCACCUAUAGAUAGAUCCGCGCUGCAUUAGCGAGUUGGUAAGGUAACGGCGUACCAAGGCAACGAUGCAUAGCCGACCUGAGAGGGUGAUCGGCCACACUGGAACUGAGACACGGUCCAGACUCCUACGGGAGGCAGCAGUAGGGAAUCUUCCGCAAUGGGCGAAAGCCUGACGGAGCAACGCCGCGUGAGUGAUGAAGGUCUUCGGAUCGUAAAACUCUGUUAUUAGGGAAGAACAUAUGUGUAAGUAACUGUGCACAUCUUGACGGUACCUAAUCAGAAAGCCACGGCUAACUACGUG
rnacentral:rRNA from 1 species